rnacentral:rRNA from 1 species
UACGAAGGGGGCUAGCGUUGCUCGGAAUCACUGGGCGUAAAGGGUGCGUAGGCGGGUCUUUAAGUCAGAGGUGAAAUCCUGGAGCUCAACUCCAGAACUGCCUUUGAUACUGGAGAGCUUGAGUCCGGGAGAGGUGAGUGGAACUCCGAGUGUAGAGGUGAAAUUCGUAGAUAUUCGGAAGAACACCAGUGGCGAAGGCGGCUCACUGGCCCGGUACUGACGCUGAUGUGCGAAAGCGUGGGGAGCAAACAGG